rnacentral:rRNA from 1 species
GAUGAACGCUGGCGGCGUGCCUAAUACAUGCAAGUCGAGCGAACAGAUGAAAAGCUUGCUUCUCUGAUGUUAGCGGCGGACGGGUGAGUAACACGUGGGUAACCUACCUAUAAGACUGGGAUAACUCCGGGAAACCGGGGCUAAUACCGGAUAAUAUUUUGAACCGCAUGGUUCAAUAGUGAAAGACGGUUUCGGCUGUCACUUAUAGAUGGACCCGCGCCGUAUUAGCUAGUUGGUAAGGUAACGGCUUACCAAGGCGACGAUACGUAGCCGACCUGAGAGGGUGAUCGGCCACACUGGAACUGAGACACGGUCCAGACUCCUACGGGAGGCAGCAGUAGGGAAUCUUCCGCAAUGGGCGAAAGCCUGACGGAGCAACGCCGCGUGGAGGAUGAAGAUUUUCGGAUCGUAAACUCCUUUCGAUCGGGACGAAUCGUCCCUGACCUAACACGUCGGGGGACUGACGGUACCGAGAGAAGAAGCCCCGGCUAACUCCGUGCCAGCAGCCGCCGUAA